CAACAAACAAACUGAGACACACACACACACACACACACACACACAAACAAACUGAGACACACACACACACACCCACACACACACUGAGACACAAACACACACACACACACACACACUGAGACAUGAACACACAGACACACACACACAAACACACACACACAAAUACACUGAGACACAAACACACACACACACACACACACACACACAGACAUGAACACACACACACACACACACACACACACACACACACACACACUGAGACAUGAACACACUGAGACAUGAACACAUAUACGCACAAACACACUGAGCCAUGAACACACACACACACACACUGAGACAUGAACACAUAUACGCGCAAACACACACAAACACUGAGACAUGAACACACACACACACACACACACACUGAGACAUGAACGCCCACAUACACACUGAGACAUGAACAAACACACACUGAGACAUGAACACACCCACACACACAUACACGCCCAUGCCCACAUGCCGCAAAUCACUCACACUAACACACAAACACACUGUGUAGUCACAUACGCUUUCGAUACACACACACACACCCACACACAAUGUCUACUCAAACAUGUGUUCAACCGGAUACAAACACACGCACGCUGUCUACUUACUUACUUUCUACUCACAGCCACACACACACACACAUCCAUGUGCAUGUACGCACACACGCACACAAACACAAACACACACACAAAGGAUAAAGAACAGUAGUGAAGUGUACUGAGCAGAUUGUGUAUAUAUGAACACACUAACACAUUCUUUCAAACUGAAAUACACACAUGCAUAAGUUGCACGCACACUCAGAAUAUGUUUAAACAAAUGCUCACAUGACAAAAGUACACUCACACACAACACACACACACACACACACACAUGCACGCAUACGCACACACAUCGCGGAGACCAACUCUCCUGGACAGCUCUCUCCAGGGACGAAUGGGACGGACGGACAGACCCAGUCUCUCCUGUCCGCAAGACUUGUGAAUAAAGAGUGACAGACGUACAGACUGAAUCUGAGGACGUUGAGCAUGGACACGGACCGAGUGCUCUGACUCUGGGGUGGAACUCUGAGAGGUCUGUGUGUGUGUGUGUGUGUGUGUGGGGGGGGCCGUUGUUGUUUGUAAAUGCUUAAAACAAAGAAACAAAAGGACUUCUGAUUCACCAGUAAAGCACGUCUUACUGGCGGAGGAGUUGCCGUGUGGGGGGGGUGCGUAGGGUUUUGUAGAGUUGAUGAGACGGUGGUGGUGGUGAUGAAGGAGGGUGGGGUGUCUGCAUCACAACUGAAAACAGCCCUUUUUUUUUUUUUUU
ensembl:lncRNA